rnacentral:rRNA from 1 species
UACGGAGGGGGCUAGCGUUGUUCGGAAUUACUGGGCGUAAAGCGCACGUAGGCGGAUUGGUAAGUUGGGGGUGAAAUCCCGGGGCUCAACCCCGGAACUGCCUCCAAAACUCCCAGUCUGGAGUCCGGGAGAGGCGAGUGGAAUUCCGAGUGUAGAGGUGAAAUUCGUAGAUAUUCGGAGGAACACCAGUGGCGAAGGCGGCUCGCUGGUCCGGUACUGACGCUGAGGUGCGAAAGCGUGGGGAGCUAACAGG